AAUGACUUUAGCACUAGGGCCCUUGAUUUCAUUACAGCUGUGCAGACCUCCCAGGUAAUAUUCUCAAAAACAGUUACAUCAAUAUCAUGUAACUAUAUCAUUUUGUUGCCUGUGAAAAAUGUUUGUAUUUAACUGAAGUGAUCUAAAGUUGGUCCUACAGCUUCUGUGAGUGUUCCUAACAAUGUUUUAAAAUAGCCAUUUGUUUCUUCUUACAAAUUGCAGAUUUAGUGGGAUCUCUUGGUGCGAACAGAAGCAUCUUCUACAGCUUUCUUGUCUCCCUGCUAAUUCUUGGCAGAUACAGCUAAUGAUAAUACAAAUAGACUGGUUUUCUUUUGUACAUUCAGAUAUUGGGCACCUGUAGCUUGAGCCCUGGGGGCUAGUUACUUCUGAGCAAUUUUACAUAGUUUGUAUUUAAUGAAUAAGUAAUUUGAUUCUUUUCCUUUUUGACCUCUUCCAAGUGAUAACGGCCUAUCUUUCAGAAAGUCAAGUAUGAGGCUUUCUUUUCCCCAGCAAGUACUGAACUCUAGGCCUGGAAAAGGGCCAGAGCACACAGGGACAAUGUUCCACAGCAACAUUUUGUACCUCAUUUAAAAAAAUAACAAUAACAACAGCUGACUCACAUGUGAAAUAAAAUGUCCUUCUUUUCCUCCUCCCUUUGUUUUACAAAUAUUCAUUUAUUCAUCAUACUUCUUCUAAAAAUGCCUUCACACAUACACAUUCACACUGGAUUUUUCUGCUGAAGAAAUGAUGUGUUAAGAUGUCUUGUAUUAUUUUUAUGAAUUUAGUUUGGUUUACAUCAAGCUACUGUGAAAGAUCCCCAUCCCCCAUCUCAAGGUCUCUAUGGCAAGGGAUUUCUAGGUGACUUAUGGUUUGGAUUACUUCAGUUUGGGGGUGCUUCUCUUUAAAAAAUCUGCAGAAAGCCAUUGCUUCUAUGAUCUCUCAUACUGAGUACCUUAAAGCAGAAGGACUGCUAAGUCACUCUGGAAAAUAAUGGCCCAGAAGACUUCACCCAUCUGUGCAAAUACACCACAAUCCAAUUAAACUGGCAGACUUUGCAAUUAUUUGCAGAUUUCCACAAUCUGGCAGCAGCAAACAGAUACAGCCUGUGUUGCAUAAGCGAGUUGUCGCAAGCCUGUGUGCCCCAUGGCCUGACAGAGCUCCCCAAAAUUCUGGAGGAGGAGCGGGCAGCAUGGUGUGUCCUGCAGAUGGGCACACACCAAAGUGAUGGGCUGCAGUGCCAAACGCAGCCCCUAGCUGAGCUCCUGGCCACAGAAGGGCAGAGUUAAACAUUACAAUUUGCUGCACCAUCCCCUCCACAACUACAAUGUCACAAAGCCAAUUUUUUAAGAGGUUUCCAUCCUUUGCCACAUAUUCUUAUAUCAACUUUAAGCAAGGCCUUUAAACUGAAACUGAAAUAUAAGAAAAGAAAUUAACAAAAAUAAAAGGGUUGUGCAAGGGAAAUAAUCCAGAUGAUUUUGCAGCACUGCUACAAACUGUUGCUCUUUCACCACUGAGGAAAAGAAAGGUCAAAAUGUGAGUGGCCUUUUCUGAGGAAGGAAAAAAGAUGCUAAACUCAGUAGUAACAAGACUACUUCACCAGCCUGUGUCAGCACAGAACUGUUUGUGCUAGCAGAGGAAACGAGAAUUGGAGAAGGGGGAAGGUGAGCUGGAUGAUUUCUGUGGCAGUGCCCCAUCAGAGUGUUUAUAGGGGAUGGGAUUCCCUCUGCCAGACAAAUUGAGAUACUCAAAGGCUCAAAAGUACUUUUAGUACUUUGAGUACUCAAAGAUACUUUCAAUUCAAAGAAGCAGUGUGUUUGUCCCUAACAGCUGAUUUGAAAUUAAUCACGUUAGUCCAAGCUUCAGGCUAACUUCUUAAAAUCUAGGCCUAGACUCUUGUAAAAAGCCCACCAAAACAAAAGUUCUUCAAAGUCACUUUUUUUCCACCAUCACCAUUUCCAGCUGCACAUUUUCACCUUGGUGUCACCUUUUCCCUCAGUGGAGUGGAUGCUCCUCUUGUGCAAGGUGCCUCAGGUUAAAUUAGUAAUAAAGGGUGGGGCUUUGUUUAAUAGUCAGUGUAGCUCCCAGGUCUGGUUCACAGCACAACCCCACCAGCAGCCGUGCUGGCUGGACCCAAAGGUCAGAAAAUGGUAGACACUGAAUCUUGGCCCCAGGUGCUCAGUCGUCGAGGGAAUUCCCAGUCCUCAGCUGGUCCCUGCCAGCUGGUAUUUCCAUACAACAUGAGAGGGAGAUCCCCCAAAGGAAAUGAGACAUUUUUGCAAGCUGUGAGGUCACUGGAUCCCAGUGCCCCCCACAUGUGAGGAGCUGAAGCAGCACUUUGAGCAAGGAUCCAAGUAGGUGAAUAGUAGGAAAGGCUGAGGUGGGAAGCUCUGGCCUGAGACCUGCUGCUCUCAAGACCUGCUCUAGUCACCACCCAUGGCUGCUGCAGGCUCUUCUGGAAACCAUGCUCUGCACAAGCCCCAAAACCCACAGGAGGAAGGGAUGAGGGAAGUGAAAUCUCUUUAAACUGUGGAACCCAGCCUGUGUGGGAGACCCAUCUCAGUUGGAUGAGUCUGCAACAUUUCAGCAGCCUUUUCUCUCAAGAUCUGCAGCCAUGAAGAUGCUCAAACUCUUCUUUUCCAGAAAUGAGGAAUCAAUCCCUUCAAAUCAUGGAUGUGUCCUCUCCCACAGCACAGAGCUCAACCAGCAGCUCCCAUUUCAUAUCCCACCUACACCCCAACGAACCAGCUCUCCCAGAUUAUCCAGCCUGGGUCUUCCUGCUUGUCUUUUGGGGUUGUUUCAAGUUCAGGGUCUUUUUAAAAUGAAUAUAUGUUAUUAAUUCUCUCUGUCUAUUUAUUUUGUUCUGAUAUUUAUUUAUGUAAUGCAAAAUGAAACUAUUUCACUAGAGGAGAGCUAACAGGCUCAAAAAAAAAAAAAAAAGCAGUUCAAUAGUCUUCUCUGAACAUUCAUUUUAAAAUGGAUUCAAGUAGCAUGAUGUUCUAGCCAUGUGGUGUAUGCACUGUCAUAGAAAUAAGGGAGAAAAUGGAUGAAAAAACAGCAAAGUUAAAAGAAAUAGUCCCAGAGCAUUGUUCUCUACUUGGAUUACACAGCUCAGGCUUUUAAUCUUAAGGCUGGGAUUUGUCUCCAUUAUUGCUGAUGCAUCCCCCUUACUCCUUAUUCCUAUAGAGUACCUUCUUGCCAGCUCCUGCAUCACUUUCUGGGAAACUGAACUCUUCUGGCAAGCAGAUCUCCUAGUUUGUCAGCUUUCAAGUCCGUAGAGGUGAAAUAGCAUUGGCUCAUAAUUUCUGGGGCAGUUUGCAGUGGUCUAUGAAAAUCCCAGCUAUCACAGAGCACAGGGUUUGAGUCACCUCAUUUUAGUGGAGAAAAUGGGAUUCCUCAUCUGAACUACUCAUUUUCCCACCGGAUGGAACACCAUGAGAAGACAAGUCCUCCCUCUUCUCUGGAACACCAGCUGGGAUAGGUGGAUCACCCUCUGGAUGUGCCUGUGUCUGUUUGUGGGCUUCGGAGGGUACCUGCACAUCGAGUUCAGACUGGAUGUGAGCUUCUAGUCAGCCUGAUUUAAAGGAGUCUUGCCCAUAGUGCUGGCAUUCUCCCUGAGGUUUCCAUUUGCAGCAGCACUGUAACAGAUGCUGAGAAUACAUUAAAUGCUUUCCUAAUGUCACAUUCCUCUGUCUGCAAUCAUGGUAAUUGCCUCAGUGGAGUUUUGCAAUUGCAAACAAGCAGGAAGCCAUCUGCAAAGGAAUCUGUCUAUUAAGAUGUGGCCCCUACUCUGGAAGUGCUCAAAAAGCCCCAGCACAUUUUUUGGGCUUAAGAUAGAAAAUUAAAAAUAAAAAAAUUUAAAAAAAAAAAAAAA
ensembl:lncRNA